rnacentral:lncRNA from 1 species
UCACAGCAGAGUGGCACCUGGGAUAUGAGGGGUGAGGAAGAGGAUGGGAACAGGGAUGGAGGAGUGGAGGAAGUGGUUCCAGCAGAGAAGAAAGGGUGUGGGGGUGGAAAUGCUCAGAAAGCACCUGGGGGUUACUGGAAGUGCCUCCUCCAUCACUGCAGAGCCUGUGUGGGUCUGUGUGUCACUGCUGGAGAUCCUGCAUGGGGCUCUGUGACCCUGCUGUGUGACUGGGGCACUGUCACCCCUUGCCCUGCAGGCACCUGUGACACUCCUGGUGACAGAAAUCAGCAGCCACAUGGGGCCACCUGAAAACUGCACUCACAGCCCCCUCUUUGUCUGAGGCUGGGCUCUGGACUUGUCUCCACCAGAAAAUAUCCAAAAUUCACAUGGAUCACCUGGAGCAACUCAAACUGCAUUGAGCACUUUGGUUAGUCCAGGUCAAUUCAAAAUGAAAUACUAUCUUUUGAUCCUCUUUGCAAACAAACCUUUUCCUUUUUUUUUUUUUUUUUUUUUUUUUGCAGAAACAACUUUUUUUUUUCCCCUCAUGGAAAAUUCCUGUUUUCUCAGAAACAGAAAAUCUCCCCUAUGGAAAAUUUCCAGUGAGCUCCAAUUCUAAACCUUGAUGCCAGCAAACAUCUAGCAGGCAUUAGCAGAGGGUGACUCAGGGUGUAAUGUAUCAUUUAAUUCUGACUAGGGCAACAUAGCCACAGGAAUUGGAGAACACAAGCAGGCUCUCAGCAUCCCUAACUCAAUAUUCACUAGGCAAUCCACCAAAACCACAUAUGCAGAGCAGGGAAAAAGUGUUACAAUAACACUUCAGUAUUGAAAGCUCAGAUCUACCCUGAGAAAGAAACUGGGAAAAUGUCAUCAGAUGCACCAUCUCUGCUUCCUUUUGCUGACUUCCAAAUCCAACAUGUUUGUGUUACAAGAAGAUGCUUUUAUUUUGUAUUUUUAUGUUUUUAGCAGAUAGUUUCACCACCCAAGGGUCUGAGAGGUUUCCUGCUCCUACAAGCAGUAAAGAAAAUCAUCUGGAAUUUUGUAGGUACAACAGACUUGGAGUUGGUUCUGUUGUUGCACAAGAAAUAAUCUCCAGUCCUUGUCCAACAGCUCUGCUGCUGCUUUCCUGCCCAGAAAAGAGACCAGCUGGCUCAGAAAGUAUUUUUCCCUUCAGCAGGAAAGGGGUGUGGGAUACAAGCCUGUUUCAAAAGACAAAAACCACGGAGAGCUUCUCGAGCAGUUGACUGCAUCCAUGUGUUCUGUUCACCUUGCUAGUCCCUCUGCAAGUUUCCAGGUCACACUGUUCCCUAUGUGAGAUCAGCAGAUCAAGGCAGGUAUGUUCCCCUGUGACAGAGCCUGGAUUUGGCUCAAGUAUUGAGGCUGCAGGGACAGGGGGGAGCCCCUGGGCACUCCUGGAUCACCUCUGAAGGGAGUUUUCAUGGGGGAAGCAAGCAGAUACAAAAGCUCUGCAAAAUUCAAGCUGCAUCUGUCAACAACAAAGAAUGUACAGUUCUCAGCUAACAAUAAAACAUUUAUUCGUUUCCA